UUUGCAUUAAAGUAAUUUCUGUUUUAUUGUUUUAUAGAAAACGCAGAAAGUGUAAAUCUCACAGCAGUGAUUGUGGUUGGCUGUUGUAUUGUUUUCUUACUGUUUUUGUCUUUGGGACUUUGGGGAAUAAUUCAAGGAGGUUGUUUCACAUGCAGUGAAGGCAGAGCCACUGAACCCACGAUCACAUCAGGAGGGGAAAUUCUGAACCAUGAAAUCUUAUUGGAAAACAGAACGGAUGCAGAAUGGGACGAGUUUUCUGAUGAUGAUCAAAGUGCUCGAGCUUCACAGGAGGAAAUUUAUCAGGUUUGCGAAGACCUUUAGAAAUACAUACAGGAAGUGCUAUUUAUGCUUCAGUUAAGAAGAAAAUUCCAGAACAGAGCUUGUGAUUUUUUUAUACUUUUUCAUUACUAGAAAUGUAAAAAAAAAUCAUGUUAAUAUUUACUCCAUAAAUCUGUUUAAUUCAGUUAUUCCACAAACAAUACUGAUAACCCUACAAAACAUGUAAAAAAGUGGAGUUUGAAACUGUUUGGUUAAUUCAGGAUAAUCAGAGGUUAAUUAAUUUAUUUUUUUAUUGUAUAAAUCUGUAAUUUCCUCAUUAUUUGUCUUGUUAUGACAGAAUUGCCCCCAGCAGAAUUCCACUAAACUCAAUCCUCCAGUUUCACACCGGAAAGACGGAAUAAUCCCACCAUCACUUCUAUUCUAAUUAAAACAUUAAUCGUUUAUUUCUGUUUUAAUUAAAUAUGAUACACAUGUUGUUAAUACAUAAUGAAAUAUGGUUUCAGUUUUAGUAAAAUUUAGAAUGUUUGUUAGAAUAUUAACUAUUUUCAUAUGUUUAAAAUCUUUAAA
rnacentral:lncRNA from 1 species